AUCUGAACUCAAACAGGCAAGAUUACCCGCUGAAUUUAAGCAUAUUAAUAAGCGGAGGAAAAGAAACUAACAAGGAUUCCCCUAGUAACGGCGAGUGAAGCGGGAACAGCUCAAGCUUGAAAUCUGCACCUUGUAAAAAGGGUGCCGAGUUGUAGCUUUUGGAGGCACUAUUGAGCGGCUAAUCUUGGUAAAAGUCCUUUUGAAUAAGGCAUCAGAGAGGGUGAAAAUCCCGUAUUUGACCAGGAGUAUAAAUUAGUUGCGAUAUCAAGUGUUUUCUUUGAGUCGGGUUGUUUGGGAAUGCAGCCCUAAUUAGGAGGUAAAUUUCUUCUAAAGCUAAAUAUCAGCAAGAGACCGAUAGCAUACAAGUACCGUGAGGGAAAGAUGAAAAGCACUUUGAAAAGAGAGUGAAAAGUACGUGAAAUUGUUGGAAGGGAACCGGUUGAUGACCAAGCUUUUUUGGCUUCCUUUCGGGGGAGUUGGAGGGUCAACAUCGGUUGUUUUAUGGCUAGAAGGGAUUUUGCGGGCUGACGGGGGAAAGGUAGUAAGCGUUCUGGGUAUUUUAUACCUAGGGCGUUUAUGUUAUAGACUCCCACAGGCUCGCUUCAAAAGCUCUAUAGUUGUAGCGACCGAGGAAUGCAGUGUGUUUUUAUCCUUCGGGAUUUAGGGCAGCUUGUAGGGAUGCAUUUUGUGGUGUUUUUAUCUGGGGCUAGACAGCUUUGCUGACUAGUUCUGAUGCGCCAUAUGUACGCCUUGCAAGGUGACCAAGAAGCACUUUGGAUGUUGGCGAAAAGGCAUCAAUCGACCCGUCUUGAAACACGGACCAAGGAGUCCAACAUGCAUGCGAGUAUUUGGGAAAAGAUAAACCCAUGUGCGUAAUGAAAGUGAAUUUUAUUUAGAAUGUGACCUGCUUUAUUGUGGGGCAACAUCAACCGACUUUAGAUAGCGCUGCUUGAAAAGGUUGAGUAAGAGCAUGUAUGCUGGGACCCGAAAGAUGGUGAACUAUGCCUGAAUAGGGUGAAGUCAGAGGAAACUCUGAUGGAAGCUCGUAGAGAUUCUGACGUGCAAAUCGAUCUCAAAAUUUGGGUAUAGGGGCAAAAAACUAAUCAAACCAUCUAGUACCUGGUUCCUGC
rnacentral:rRNA from 1 species